GCGGGCCCCUGGGCCCGGACCAGGGAGCAGGCAGCCGUUGCCGGCGGGGCUGCAUGGACGCAGGAAAGUUGGCUCGGCACCCGACAGACACGGGCUCGGAGCGGGCAGUGCCGGCGCUCGCGGAAAUAAGGCCGUGGUGGGCCCCUCCCCUCCGCCCCCAGGGCGAAGAUAAUUGUGAAACACCUGUGCCAGGCCCUGGGGGAAUGAGGGUGAACAAUCUUAAACAUCUCUGCCUUCCUGGAGCACACCUUCUAGGUUGCACAGUGGCUCAGAGAGUAGACUUGGAGCCAGGCUGCCCGGUUUUAUAGCCCUGCUUGACCUGUGUGAUCCGAGAAUAAUCUUGUUUAAUCUCCACAAGUUUGAGGACUAAACUGGGUGCCACAGAGAAUUAAGUAACUGGUCGAGGUUGUAUCAGUAAGAAGGGAGCACGGAACAGAUUCAAGCUCAGAUGGAGUCUCACACUGUCACCCGGGCUGGAAUGCAGUGGUGUGAUCUUGGCUCACCUCCCAGGUUCAAGCGAUUCUGCUGCCUCUGCCUCCCGAGCAGCUGGGAUUCCAGGGAGCCUGGUUGGACUUCAGGCCCCUGUGAGGCUGACUCUGUAGUCCUGGAGAAACUCAACAGCCAGGAACUUAGGACCAUUUGUGUGUGGCAUUUGGGCUAACCAGACUGGUGGCUUCUAAAGAAGAUGGAAAGCAUCACGUUUCCUGUAUUUAAAUUAUUUGGUGAUCUCAAUACUGGUUGUUAGCCAAAGUACACAAUGGAGACAGCCUAUUUGCUCUACUACUUUUGAUGUAGAAAUAUUACUAAGCUUGAGCUGAUUAAUAGAACUGUUACACAUUUCUGUGCUCCCCUUACUGGUGGCAUGAAAUAAUUCUUUUAAAACCUGCCAUGUGUUCACAUUUAAAACUAAAAGUAAUUUAGAUUACAUGGAUUUGAGAAGCCCAUGUUGACACGUAAUUGCCAACAGAUGGGCUUUCAAAUGUAAUGAAGUGAAAAUGGUCAGUACCCCAUGUGUUGGAUUUUGCAAUUUUCCAAAGUAAGCUGUCAUUUUUGGCAUGUCAUGCUAGUUAAGAACACAAUGUAUUUAUAGCUCAAUUAUACAUUUUCUGAUGAAUUUGGCAUGGCAUUUUGUUUUUCCAUCAGUCACUUAAGACAGGACAUUUGCCAUUCCAAGAAUGAAUUAACACUCUUCUAAGUGAUCUAUAAACUGAGAUGUAAAAUAAAUUACAAAUUGGGACUGUUUUAGUUUUUCAAGCAAAGGGUGUUUAAAUAAAGCUUGAAAUCAUAAACCUUA